AUGAAAAUAGCCAUCGACAUCGCCCAAGGUUUAAGGUAUUUGUACACCGAGUUGCAGCCUCCUUUCGAUAUAUCUGAGCUGAACUCCAAUUCAAUAUACGCUACAGAAGAUUUUAUAUACAAACUGAACUUUGAAAUCCACUUGACAAUUGCUCAUGACUUGAUAGAAAUCAUUCUUAUGAGCAGGCUGACGACGUCGUCUAUUGAAGCCCCACCGGCGACACGACGGGACAGCUCCGACUUGUACGUGGGUGUGGGAACGCAGAUCCGCGUUGCCAGCUUACACAAGGCCAUGCUCAACGCGCCGACGCAGGGUUUAUCGCCCGUCUUUGUCAGAUAA
rnacentral:rRNA from 1 species